rnacentral:lncRNA from 1 species
CAGAGAAGGCUAAUGAUGGCUGAUAUCCUCUCCUUUGAAUCAACCUUUGAUUGCCUUGAGAGGAAGAAGAAGAAGGAGAGAUCUAGGAAGAGGAAACAAAGCUCUUUGCAGCCUUUUCUUUUUCUCCUGCGCUGGACCCAAGAAAGAGGAAGAAGAAGGCCACGCCACCCUUUCUUUUUCUCCCUUUUCUUUUGCAGCUGAAAGGAGGAAGAAGAUGGGAGGUUGCUGCC